rnacentral:sRNA from 2 species
AAGGCUGUCAUUGGGGAGUAGCCGCUGCACCCCGCCCGUCGCCUGACGGGCCGAUUCAGCAGACCCGCGUCAACAGACUUGAGCUUUGGCUCAUGGCGCGAGGUAGCCAGGAACCCACGGGUUCCCAGCCUGGCGAGACCUUUGACCAUGUCCCCGGACUUUUGCGGCCGGCGGCGACAUGGUC